GCCAUUGUUCGUGCUGAUGGUGUUCCGCAAGGAAUGAAAAGGGAAGAACGGUGCCGCACGCCUUGGCUGUGCUAGUCCGUCGCUGCCCCCGCAACUGUAAGUGUGUUUACGCGUAACCCGGUGUCAGGCCCCUACCGCCAGCCACACCCACUGGCCUUAAAGGGGUUAGGGAAGGGGGCGUUACGGUGCUGGUGUUAUGCGCCUUUGGCGCGUAGGCCAGCAGCCACAAGCCAGGAGACCUGCCAUCAGGCACGGCUUGCC
rnacentral:ncRNA from 2 species